rnacentral:rRNA from 1 species
CGAAAGCCUGACGGAGCAACGCCGCGUGAGGGAUGAAGGCCUCUGGCUGUAAACCUCUUUUCUCAAGGAAGAAGAUCUGACGGUACUUGAGGAAUAAGCCACGGCUAAUUCCGUGCCAGCAGCCGCGGUAAUACGGGAGUGGCAAGCGUUAUCCGGAAUCAUUGGGCGUAAAGCGUCCGCAGGCGGCCUUGAAAGUCUGUCGUUAAAGCGUGGAGCUUAACUCCAUUUCAGCGGUGGAAACUGCAGGACUUGAGUGUGGUAGGGGCAGAGGGAAUUCCCGGUGUAGCGGUGAAAUGCGUAGAUAUCGGGAAGAACACCAGUGGCGAAAGCGCUCUGCUGGGCCAUAACUGACGCUCAUGGACGAAAGCCAGGGGAGCG